rnacentral:misc_RNA from 1 species
GAUGAAGAACGUAGCGAAAUGCGAUAAGUAGUGUGAAUUGCAGAAUUCAGUGAAUCAUCGAAUCUUUGAACGCACAUUGCGCCCCUUGGUAUUCCUUAGGGCAUGCCUGUUCGAGCGUCAUUUAAACCUUCAAGCUCAGCUUGGUGUUGGGUGACUGUCCGCUUCACCGCGGACUCGCCUCAAAAUUAUUGGCGGCCGGUACAUUGGCUUCGAGCGCAGCAGAAACGCGAACUCGGGCCCGUCGUAUUGGCUCCCAGAAGCUAUCUUCACAAUUUUGACCUCGGAUCAGGUAGGGAUACCCGCUGAACUUAAGCAUAUCAAUAAGCGGAGGA